rnacentral:rRNA from 1 species
CACCGCGGUUAUACGAGAGGCCCCAGUUGAUAGACACGGCGUAAAGGGUGGUUAAGGAAAGCAAAAAUAAAGCCGAAGGGCCCCUUGGCCGUCAUACGCUUCCGAGUGUCCGAAGCCCAAACACGAAAGUAGCUUUAAUUCUAGCCCACCUGACCCCACGAAAACUGAGAAA